UCUCUUUUUCGAUUUUACCCUUCUAUGACAUCAGGGGGAUGUUUGGUUCUAGGAUUAGGGUCUUGUGUUUGGUUUUCUCAGCCCACUGCACCCUCACCGUUUUCUUCUCUGGUAAAUUACACAUGAGAAAUGCAUCCUUUUCCCCCUUUUCUUCAUCGUUGAUAUCUCUUCUCUCUCCUAUUCCGGCAGCCGGCCACCAGCGGCCACCGUUACUGUCAAACCCCCCGUGCUACCGCCAAUAUCUGUUCAACCUCUAGAAACGUGAUCGGGUCAUUCAAUAACCACCAGAGACGUCGCCGCCAUUGUCGUCCACUUCAACCCCAGAUCCAUGGUCCGCAUUAGAAUUUACAGAGGUGGUGGUGAGACUUGGUGAGAAUGAGAAGGAUACGAGCAUACAAUAAGGGGGAAGAAACGAUAACAGAAAUGAGUUCUGUCCCACACCUACAAAGCCAUCAAUGAAUCUGGUUUUGAGUUUCAAUGGUGCAUUUUGAUUUCACAACACUGACCGACGAUUCUCGUGUUCUUACUCAAAUUGAUUUCAGAUUAUGGCAUAAAUUCUAUUUCAGAUGAUCACCUCAAGUCGAUUUCAGAUGCAGAUUAUCUUUGUGGGGUUUUACAUCUUUUUUUGUCAGAUUUGUUGUUUUUUUACAUUACAAAAUUGCUUCAUAGAAAUCAUCUAUCUAUCUUUGUUAUUUGUUUUUAGUAACCCAAAGAAAACUUUGCUUCACCACAACUGGAAGAAAAAUAACAACAGAUGUUAAAUUGUGAGUUUUAUGUGAUUAAAUCUAUUUAUUUGUUUGGUUUU